rnacentral:misc_RNA from 1 species
GAUGAAGAACGUAACGAAAUGCGAUAAGUAAUGUGAAUUGCAGAAUUCAGUGAAUCAUCGAAUCUUUGAACGCACAUUGCGCCCGCCAGUAUUCUAGCGGGCAUGCCUGUUCGAGCGUCAUUACAACCCUCAGGCCCCCGGGCCUGGCGUUGGGGAUCGGCGGAAGCCCCCUGCGGGCACAACGCCGUCCCCCAAAUACAGUGGCGGUCCCGCCGCAGCUUCCAUUGCGUAGUAGCUAACACCUCGCAACUGGAGAGCGGCGCGGCCACGCCGUAAAACACCCAACUUCUGAAUGUUGACCUCGAAUCAGGUAGGAAUACCCGCUGAACUUAAGCAUAUCAAUAAGCGGAGGA